AAAUCUGGAGAUUCCACGCAGAGCACAUGCGGUCUGAGCGCUCACUGCAGGAGCGAAGACUCCACCCAUCAGAUAGAUAACCGGGCCGCAGGGGGCCCAGCUCCCCCAACCAUGGGUUUGCAACACACUCAACAAACAGCAACUGGCCUUGAGCAGAAGUGGGAAGGAUACACCCCAUCAGCCCGAGGCCUUGCUGUCCACCAGGACCUGUGAGUGUCCGGGCGGAGAAAGGAGGUGGCAUAGGCGCCAGGAACUAGCAACAGGUGUGAAGAAGGGCAAUUAGCUGAGGAGGCAGAGGAGUGACGGCCUCGAUCUGAUUGGAGAAGCCACCGAAUUACAUCAUCUGUGGAACAACAGUUCUGAAAAGAAGCUAUUUUUCAUCCUGGACCUGAAGGAACUGGGGGAGAGGCAGGUCAAAACAGGAGCCGAUUAUUCAAAGGAAACUUUAUGCCCCAAAGUUGGUUGUUCAGAGGUUACCUCCUGGAACCCAAGGAUUAUAUUUAUUUUAACAACUAACUUGAGCCCCAUGCAAAACAGUAGCAAGGAGGUCAGCAACUUAUCAGAUUUAAUAAGAGCAAGCAGUUCCAAGAGUCUCACCUUCUCACCAAGGUAGUGAACACUAAAAUGGAAAAUGCUUAUGUUUUGUUG